rnacentral:rRNA from 1 species
CCUCUCGGGGUUCAGCCUUGCUGAAUUAUUCACCCUUGUCUUUUGCGUACUUCUUGUUUCCUUGGUGGGUUCGCCCACCACUAGGACAAACAUAAACCUUUUGUAAUUGCAAUCAGCGUCAGUAACAAAUUAAUAAUUACAACUUUCAACAACGGAUCUCUUGGUUCUGGCAUCGAUGAAGAACGCAGCGAAAUGCGAUAAGUAGUGUGAAUUGCAGAAUUCAGUGAAUCAUCGAAUCUUUGAACGCACAUUGCGCCCUUUGGUAUUCCAAAGGGCAUGCCUGUUCGAGCGUCAUUUGUACCCUCAAGCUUUGCUUGGUGUUGGGCGUCUUGUCUCUAGCUUUGCUGGAGACUCGCCUUAAAGUAAUUGGCAGCCGGCCUACUGGUUUCGGAGCGCAGCACAAGUCGCACUCUCUAUCAGCAAAGGUCUAGCAUCCAUUAAGCCUUUUUUUCAACUUUUGACCUCGGAUCAGGUAGGGAUACCCGCUGAACUUAAGCAU